rnacentral:rRNA from 1 species
GAUCAUGCUCAGAUUGAACGCUGGCGGCAGGCCUAACACAUGCAAGUCGAACGGUAACAGGAAGAAGCUUGCUUCUUUGCUGACGAGUGGCGGACGGGUGAGUAAUGUCUGGGAAACUGCCUGAUGGAGGGGGAUAACUACUGGAAACGGUAGCUAAUACCGCAUAAUGUCGCAAGACCAAAGAGGGGGGACCUUCGGGCCUCUUGCCAUCGGAUGUGCCCAGAUGGGAUUAGCUAG